AAUUAGGCUCUUCUAGGAGCUACAUAAAUUUAUUUAAAGGUACCAG
rfam:Taeniopygia guttata chromosome 4, whole genome shotgun sequence.